GACGAGGGAUCCUAGCGUUGUUCGGAAUCAUUGGGCGUAAAGCGUAGGUAGGCGGCUAUUUAAGUCAGGUGUGAAAGCCCCGGGCUCAACCCGGGAAGUGCAUUUGAUACUGGAUAGCUUGAGUAUGGGAGAGGAUAGUGGAAUUCCUGGUGUAGUGGUGAAAUACGUAGAUAUCAGGAGGAACACCGGUGGCGAAGGCGGCUAUCUGGCCCUAUACUGACGCUGAGCUACGAAAGCGUGGGGAUCAAACAGG
rnacentral:rRNA from 1 species